AAUUUACCCAUUUAUCCCUUAACGGAUAUACCGGACCGAAUGAUGCACUGCGCUUCCCCUCUCUGCUCCCACUUUCCGGCGUUCUCCACCACCACCUCCGGCGCCGCCGCCAAGGCCAACCACAGAUGCUUAGUCUACCCUAGAAUGUCACUGAACCAAACUCCUCAACCACCGACCCCUAAAAACCUCCUUACCACCAUCACUAACCUACUGUGGGGUCCCUCCCUCCCACCGGGACUCCUCAUCUCCACCGUCCGUACAGCAUGGAACUCGGCGUGGCAACUCAUGAUGUCGCAGCUAGCCCCCUCCGAUUCCUCUGGCGGUUACUCUAGGCCCGCCUCCAAAUUCCGGCUCAGCAAUUCUCAAUAUUCCCGCCGAAAUCCAACGACCUUACACCUCUACGUGGGCCUUCCCUGCCCCUGGGCCCAUCGGACCCUCAUAGUCAGAGCUCUCAAAGGCCUAGAAGAUGCAAUUCCGGUGUCGAUCGCAGCACCGGGCCAAGACGGUUCCUGGGAAUUUCAGAGCACACCAAACACGGACAAGGAUGUCCUUGUACCGGGUAAGGACAAAGCAAACGGACGCAAGACUUUGAAGGAGGUUUACGGGAUAACAAGAGGAGGUUACAGCGGGCGAGCUACGGUGCCGAUGCUCUGGGAUGCAGAGAGGAAAGAGGUGGUGUGCAACGAAAGCUAUGACAUUAUUGAAUUCUUGAAUUCGGGCUUAAAUGGGUUAGCCCAGAAUCUCGAUUUGGAUCUGUCGCCGAACUCAUUGAAGGAAAAGAUUGAGGAAUGGAAUCAAGUGAUCUAUCCCAACGUAAACAAUGGAGUUUACAGAUGUGGGUUUGCUCAGAGUCAAGAAGCAUAUGAUAGAGCAGUGGAUGAUUUGUUCAGUACAUUGGAUAAGAUAGAUAAUCACUUGGGUACUUCACGAUUCUUGUGUGGAGACACACUAACACUAGCAGAUGUUUGCUUGUUUACCACUUUGAUUCGGUUUGAUCCUGUAUAUCAUGUUCUGUUCAAGUGCACUAAGAAGAAGGUGCUCGAGUAUCCAAAUCUUCAUGGGUAUAUGCGAGAUAUAUAUCAGAUACCAAAGGUUGCAGAAACUUGCAAUUUUUCUGCCAUUAUGGAUGGUUACUACAAAGUACUUUUCCCACUGAAUCCAGGCAGCAUUCGUCCAUCCAUGCCUUCAGGGUAUGAAGAUGAAAACCUUUAUGCAGCUCACAGCAGGGAAUCAUUUUCAUCUGUGAAUAAAGAUAUAGAGGUUUAUGUUUCAUAAAUCAUAGUUCUCUUUAUAAUUGUGUAUCACCUCUCAAUGUGUGCUGGGUGUUAAUAUUUUUCCCACAUUUUGAAUUUUAGCAAAAGAAAAAAAAAAUGAAUCUUAUUUUAAUUGAUGGACCAAUCUGCUAUCUUUCCAUUUAUUUUCUUUUUCUUCUUAUCUGCUGAAAUCUUCACAGGGUGCAGGGGUAGGAUUAUGUACUGAUGUAAGUAUUUUUUUAAGCCAACAAAUGAAUCUAUGAUUGAAUUGAAUCAUAACAUGAACCAUGAAG
rnacentral:misc_RNA from 1 species